GUGGGGAAUAUUGGACAAUGGGGGCAACCCUGAUCCAGCGACGCCGCGUGAGUGAUGAAGGCCUUCGGGUCGUAAAGCUCUGUUGCAGGGGAAGAACACAAUGACGGUACCCUGCUAGAAAGGAUCGGCUAACUUCGUGCCAGCAGCCGCGGUAAGACGAGGGAUCCUAGCGUUGUUCGGAAUUAUUGGGCGUAAAGCGGGUGCAGGUGGCUUGGUAAGUCAGAUGUGAAAGCCUGGGGCUUAACCCCAGAAGUGCAUUUGAUACUGCUGAGCUUGAGUGCUGGAGAGGCUAUUAGAAUUCCUGGUGUAGUGGUGAAAUACGUAGAUAUCAGGAGGAAUACCGGAGGCGAAGGCGGAUAGCUGGCCAGACACUGACACUCAGACCCGAAAGCGUGGGGAUCAAACAGGAUUAGAUACCCGGGUAGUCC
rnacentral:rRNA from 1 species